UACUUCAGGUCAAGGUGCAGUUUAUAUGGAGGUGGAGGUGAGCUACAAUUUUCUUUACAAAUAUGGAUAUUAAGCCUCGAAGCUGGUUGAAGGUGGAUUUAUUAGUAAAGUA
rnacentral:rRNA from 1 species